AUUGAACGCUGGCGGCAGGCCUAACACAUGCAAGUCGAGCGGAUGAAGGGAGCUUGCUCCUGGAUUCAGCGGCGGACGGGUGAGUAAUGCCUAGGAAUCUGCCUGGUAGUGGGGGAUAACGUCCGGAAACGGGCGCUAAUACCGCAUACGUCCUGAUGGAGAAAGUGGGGGAUCUUCGGACCUCACGCUAUCAGAUGAGCCUAGGUCGGAUUAGCUAGUUGGUGGGGUAAAGGCCUACCAAGGCGACGAUCCGUAACUGGUCUGAGAGGAUGAUCAGUCACACUGGAACUGAGACACGGUCCAGACUCCUACGGGAGGCAGCAGUGGGGAAUAUUGGACAAUGGGCGAAAGCCUGAUCCAGCCAUGCCGCGUGUGUGAAGAAGGUCUUCGGAUUGUAAAGCACUUUAAGUUGGGAGGAAGGGCAGUAAGUUAAAACCUUGCUGUUUUGACGUUACCAACAGAAUAAGCACCGGCUAACUUCGUG
rnacentral:rRNA from 1 species